rnacentral:rRNA from 1 species
GUCUACAGCCAUGCCAGCUUGAAUGUGCCCAACCUUGUCUGAUCUCAGAAGCUAAGCAGGGAUGGGUCUGCUUAGUACUUCGUAUGAAGUCAGUUUGAAAAAAGCCCCUAUCAGAGCAAUAUAAAUU